rnacentral:rRNA from 1 species
AGAUUGAACGCUGGCGGCAUGCCUAACACAUGCAAGUCGAACGCGAAAGGGGGCAACCCUGAGUAGAGUGGCGGACGGGUGAGUAACGCAUCGGAAUUUACCCUGUCGUGGGGGAUAACCAAGGGAAACUUUUGGCUAAUACCGACAUGAUCUGGAGACAGCAAAGCGGGGGACCUGCAAGGGCCUCGCGCGAUGGGAUGAGCCGAUGUCUGAUUAGCUAGUUGG